UACGUAGGGAGCAAGCGUUGUCCGGAAUCAUUGGGCGUAAAGCGCGCGUAGGUGGCCAUGUAAGUCCGCUGUGAAAGUCAAAGGCUCAACCUUUGAAAGCCGGUGGAUACUGCAGGGCUGGAGUCCGGAAGAGGCGAGUGGAAUUCCUGGUGUAGCGGUGGAAUGCGCAGAUAUCAGGAGGAACACCAAUAGCGAAGGCAGCUCGCUGGGACGGUACUGACGCUGAGGCGCGAAAGCAUGGGGAGCGAACAGG
rnacentral:rRNA from 1 species